rnacentral:rRNA from 1 species
UACAGAGGUCUCAAGCGUUGUUCGGAUUCAUUGGGCGUAAAGGGUGCGUAGGUGGCGCCGUAAGUCGGGUGUGAAAUUUCGGAGCUUAACUCCGAAACUGCAUUCGAUACUGCGGUGCUUGAGGACUGGAGAGGAGACUGGAAUUCAUGGUGUAGCAGUGAAAUGCGUACGAGAUCAGUGAGAAGCCAAUGGCGAAGGCGGCUCGUGGGAC